rnacentral:rRNA from 1 species
GACGACGGCUGGCGGCGUGGAUUAGGCAUGCAAGUCGAACGGUAACAGGCCCUUCGGGGUGCUGACGAGUGGCGGACGGGUGAGUAAUGCGUGGGAAUCUACCUGGCAAUGGGGGAUAACCCGGGGGAAACUCGGGCUAAUACCGCAUACGCCCCAUGGGGGAAAGCGGGGGACCUUCGGGCCUCGCGUUGUCAGAUGAGCCCACGUCCGAUUAGCUAGUUGGUGGGGUAAUGGCCUACCAAGGCGACGAUCGGUAGCUGGUCUGAGAGGACGACCAGCCACACUGGGACUGAGACACGGCCCAGACUCCUGCGGGAGGCAGCAGUGGGGAAUUUUGGACAAUGGAUGGAAAUCUGAUCCAGCCAUGCCGCGUGCAGGAAGACAGCCCUAUGGGUUGUAAACUGCUUUUAUAUGGGAGCAAUAAGGUCUACGUGUAGACUGAUGAGAGUACCAUAUGAAUAAGCAUCGGCUAACUCCGUG